rnacentral:lncRNA from 1 species
CAGGAAAGCCAGCGAACAUGCUCUGGGGCAGCUCCCAGUAGAGCAGCAGUCAGGAUGGUCACGGAACAUGUUCCCAGACCGCGUCACAGGAGGGCCAAGGCUCAACCAAUACCUGCUCAGCAAAGUCUUCUCUGGCCAAAACAGCAUCCCAGAGUCCAAAACCAAGAGAUUCACGGCACCAACACAAUGGAACAGAAAUUAAAAAGACAAGGCAGUGUUAUCCUUAAAACACUUUCAAUCUUUCCGUUUCUUUGGGGACAAAAACAAUGACCUCACAUCCAG